rnacentral:rRNA from 1 species
GACGAACGCUGGCGGCGUGCUUAACACAUGCAAGUCGAACGGAAAGGCCCUGCUUUUGUGGGGUGCUCGAGUGGCGAACGGGUGAGUAACACGUGAGUAACCUGCCCUUGACUUUGGGAUAACUUCAGGAAACUGGGGCUAAUACCGGAUAGGAGCUCCUGCUGCAUGGUGGGGGUUGGAAAGUUUCGGCGGUUGGGGAUGGACUCGCGGCUUAUCAGCUUGUUGGUGGGGUAGUGGCUUACCAAGGCUUUGACGGGUAGCCGGCCUGAGAGGGUGACCGGCCACAUUGGGACUGAGAUACGGCGCAGACUCCUACGGGAGGCAGCAGUGGGGAAUAUUGCACGAUGGGCGGAAGCCUGAUGCAGCAACGCCGCGUGCGGGAUGACGGCCUUCGGGUUGUAAACCGCUUUCGCCUGUGACGAAGCGUGAGUGACGGUAAUGGGUAAAGAAGCACCGGCUAACUACGUG